rnacentral:lncRNA from 1 species
UUCACACCCCCCGACCAAUGAAUGGAUGAGCUGGAUCAUAAAAAGGACAAUUUUAGGAUAUUUUUUUCAAACUUGGGUAUAUUGGGAAUUGAAUUUGAAAUAUAGGCCAUUGUAGGCAAAAAGUCACUGAAGUAAUCCAAAAUGAUGAUUUAGAGCAUAAAGGUUCGACAACUAUGGCGAAAAAGGUUAUGUGCAAUCAAG